UUGAAUUUGGAUUUGAAUUCAACCGGUUUCCACCGGUAACCGGUCAAACCGGUCCGGUAAACCGGAACCGGAGCCCGGCGGUUACCGGAAACCGGUUGGGAAAUAAAACCCUGCUCACUACACACAAAAUAUAAUGCAGAGUAGUACUGGGCAUUCAUUGUAUGGUUCUUGAGGACUUGAACUGAGCGGGAAGAUUAGGUCAGACAUCUUCUUCUUCUUCUUGUACAUGCUGAGCUGAGCAUAUCCCAGCCGCAGGUUUCGCCGUCUCGCGAUAUGUGCCAGCACCCUCUCUCCUUGUAUUCAUGUAUUCCGUUUUUUAUGGGGUCGUAUUCCCCCGCGGCGGCCCCACCGUUUUGUUUAUGGUAAUGACUCCAAUACAGCUGGCCGUACGAUUGUCCGACCGCACGGCCGCUUUCAUCCAGCGUCCACGUUCAAUCCAACGACACAGAGGGCCCCGGACGCACGAGCGGCACCUGACUGGGAUGGUCCCAUAUUCCAGAAGGGAGGAGGGCGUGAAGAAAUUUAUUCAAAACAUCAGGACGCGUGCCUGUUCAUUUCCUUCAACCCCUCUCUCUCUAGGGUUCGUUCCUCUCUCGCAAUCGCCCGGUGAUUCCUCCUCCCAAUUCCUCGCUCCCCGUCGCCAUGGCGCCCAGCUGAAUCCGCGGUGCAGUACCCUCGGCGAGUGAGAGGAGGGGGGUCGCUCGUGCGCGGAAUCACUGGAUCAGGUCAAGCGGCGAGCGAUCAGAGGCAUUCCCCUGUGCUGGAGCAUACGUGCGUGCGGCGAGUGGAAAUCUCAGACGGCAGGCUAAGGUUUUCUCUAACUUUGUUACAAUGGCAAGAGGGCAGAAGCGGCAACAAGGCCGCGCCCAACCAUCCAAUAUGGAGUCCCGAAGAAACAGAGCAUCGCUUGCCAGGCUUGUCAAGCUAUAUCCAAGUUUGACAGGUCCACAACGCAAGAUGAUAGAGGAAGUGAAUUUCGAUGGUCUGCUAAAGAUAUCCUGCUCCACUAUGCCGACGGGUCUUGCUUCAUGGCUCUUUGUGGAUUGUUUUGAUUCUGAGAGGUCAGAGCUGGUGUUUCCAGGGAGGGGUUUGCUGUCACAACAAAAGCUGUUGCCGACAUCCUAGAUUUACCAAGCGGGGGUGAUCAAGUGAAGUAUGAGCUGGAUGUCGAUGCUAUUAACUUCAUGCAGAAUAAGUAUGACAUUAUCCAUGGUUCAGCACCAAAGAUUGAGGAAAUUAUGGAGAGGAUAAAGAAAAACAAGUCCGCAAAUGAAGACUUUUUGAGAUCUUUUCUGAUGAUUGCUGUGUCAACAUUCCUGUGUCCUCCAACCAGCUUGGGAAUCAGUCCAAGGUGUUAUCCAGCAUUGGUUGACCUUAAAAGUGUGAAGAAACUGAAUUGGUGUCAAUUUGUGGUUGAGCAGCUCAAAGAAGCCCAUAGAAAUUUAAACAAGAAAUUUUGUGUGAGGGGAUGCCUCCUUCUACUUGUUAUCCUAUAUGCAGAUUCCCUAGUCGUUAGCAACGCACAUAUCCCUGAUGACAAGCCCAGGAUUGCUGCAUGGUCUAGGCAACUUUUGGACAAGGUGAUUAGGCUGGACAGAAACCGUGAUGGUUCUUUCGGCAAGCUGAAGCUUAAAUCAGCAAGACAUUCGGUGGCUCAAGAUUCUUUUUUCCACAUGGAUGAUGUGCAUACCUUUGUAGCAUCAAAAGUCCCUCAUCACAUGGCAAUUGAGAAAAAGAGAGACAUUGUAGCUGCUGUAAGCAAAGUCCUAAGUGGAGUGACAGACAUGCUCGGCAUAUUUAUACAUGAAAUAUCUGCUGUACAAGACCCAGCCACAUCAAACUUGAGAAGAUCGAAGCGGAGGAGGACGGUCCCAUAGGAGCUUGAUGAUGGCAAAGCGGAGGAGGAACCUGAAGUUGACGAAGAAGAGACCGACUAAGAUUCUGACUAUGCAGAAGAUGAAGAAGAAGAAGAAUGGAUCAGCAGCAGCGAAGAUGGGGUUUCAGACCAAGGAGCCGAGAAUGAAGAUGGUCGAGACAAAGAAGAAGACAGCGAUGAUCUCGCCCCACUUAGCACGUGGUUAAAGGAAAUUCAAUCAGCUCAAUCCAAAACUAGCAGGCUCGACACUGGAGGUCGUGCUAACAGCAUUGGAGGCACGAAGCAAGCAGCGCAGAACAAGGAAUCUGAAGUCAAAGAAGCUAACAAACCAGGCAAUAUGAACACCUUACGCUCAAAGUUGAAGCUACCCGACAUCCCAACAAAGGCAGGGCAGCAUGCUGACUUGAGUGAUAAGGGAAAAGCUGCCACGGCGAAAAACAUGGAUGAAGGUUGCACUUCAAGGGGUAAAAGUCCUGCAACCUCAGCUAGUGUUGCCAAGAGUAGUUCUUGGGAUUUCCCUCUCCCAGUUUUAAUAUUAUGGAAGAAAUUGAAGAGCUGACCCCACGCGGCGAAGGAACAAGUCGAUCUCACCAAAAACAAGUGCCAGCCAUAGCUGCUGUGAUGUGUCACACAAUCAACACUCCAAUCACACCACUUGAUGAUGGCAAAGGAACAAGUGCAUUAGGCCCCAACCAAGCGACAGUCAGAUCUGCUGCAAUGUUUGGCACAUCAAACACCAAAAACACACCACUUGAUUAUGGGUCCACAUGGUCACUAGAUGGCCUACCAGAGGAGGUGUUUCAUCAAUGGAAAGCCGAAGCUAUUGAGAUUAAUAGACAAGCAAAGGCAAAGCUCAAGAUUGCUCUUCAAGAUACACCACCAUGUGUAGUACCAUCCACAAGCAAGCCAAUUGAUAUUGGGCCAUCAAGGACAGCUAGCGCCCAAGCGCUGAGAACAGACCCUGACUCAUCUGUUACACCUAACUACAUUCCUCCACCAACUAGGAUAUUCAAAAGGGGCGCAGCACUUCAGUCUCCAUAUGCUGAAGCUGGUCCAAAGAUAUCGCUCAAAUGCAGCAGGGCUAUGGCAAAGACGUACGAUGCUGUCUGCACAUGUAUUAGGUCUACCAGGACCAGAGAUAAGAGGGCACUCAUAAUCAAUUACCUCGGUACUUUUGCUGUGUUGGUAGAUUUGGUGGACUCUGUAAAACCAGGUGGGAAGUUGAAAAACACUAUCGCAGAGGUUGGCAUCUAUGUGCUAAAUGGCAAGAAGAAAAGGGGUGCCACCAGAUUCGUCAUGCCGCUAUAUGUUACAGUGUACAACUAUGGAUUUUGGAGGAUGCAAUGGACAAGGGUGCAAAGCAUCCAGCAAUCAGAUCCGUAGCAAGCAAAUUGAUGAACUUAGUUUGUAGAACACCUUUUUGGGGUUCCCGUUUUCUCUGUGCAGAGGAUGUGGUUUAGUAGGUUUUCCUAUGAAUCUAAGAUGUUGCUAGAACCCUAACAACCAAAUUGCAUAUCAUUGGUACAUAAAGUCCUAUCAAAGUGCAAAAGUACACUACCAGAUGAGCGUACCUGAAUCUCUUUUGCUGAUCCUCU